CCUACGGGUGGCAGCAGUAGGGAAUAUUGCUCAAUGGGGGAAACCCUGAAGCAGCAACGCCGCGUGGAGGAUGACGGUCCUCGGAUUGUAAACCCCUUUUGUUAGAGAAGAUAAUGACGGUAUCUAACGACUAAGCACCGGCUAACUCCGUGCCAGCAGCCGCGGUAAAACGGCGGGUGCAAGCGUUACUCGGAAUCACUGGGCGUAAAGAGCGCGUAGGCGGGAUAGCAAGGUAGAUGUGAAAUCCUAUGGCUUAACCAUAGAACUGCAUGUGAAACUGUUAUUCUAGAGUAUGGGAGAGGUAGGUGGAAUUCGUGGUGUAGGGGUGAAAUGCGUAGAGAUCAAGAAGAAUACUGAUUGCGAAGGCAGCCUGCUAGAACAUAACUGACGCUGAUGCGCGAAAGCGUGGGGAGCGAACAGGAUUAGAUACCCUAGUAGUC
rnacentral:rRNA from 1 species